ensembl:snRNA U6 U6 spliceosomal RNA
GUGCUUGCUUCAGCAGCACAUAUACUAAAAUUGGAAGGAUACAGAGAGAAGUUAGCAUACCCCUGAACAAGGAUGACGCGCAAAUUCGUGAAGCAUUCCAUAUUAAA